rnacentral:lncRNA from 1 species
CGUUCUGGAGCUUGGGUUGGGCCUUUAUGACUCGUAUCAGAUUCUGAAGCUUUCUCUUGAGUACAAAUCGUGUAAGCUCUUGCUGGUGCUCAUGCCUCAGUUCUCAUAAUAGAAUCUUUUGUCCCACUACGGCUGUUACCUGUAUUUCCAGUGUUCUGGCAUGGUUUACCUCUCGCAGCUUUAUUACUCAGUCGAGCAGUCUGAGCCUUUUCUUUAUCAGACCUUUCAGGGUAAUCUCUGAGAUAAUGCUCGUAGGAACUACAUUUAGAACACGACUCGUCUUUCAGUCUGCACUCACCAAAAUGUCGUCUAUUACAUUGCUGGCACUUAGGCUUAUUAUUUUUGACACUGCCCACGUUUGUUACAGAUGUAGCUUGAGGUUUCGAGCUCGAAUGUUGUUAUCCUCUAUCUCUUCCAGAAUAUCCCACCGAAGCUAAUGAAUGACUAUGAAAUUCUUUCGAAUUCUUCAAUGGUGAUGAGUAUGUUUACCCAUAGGUCACUUUCCUGAAUCACGAGCCUCAGAAUCAACUUUUCUUUAUGCUUUGCUUAGUUCCUUGGCCUUAUGUGCACUGUCAACUAAAACCACGAAUUCUUUUAACUCAAGAAUCCCAACUAACAGUUUGAUAUCUUCAGUUAGGUCAUCCUCAAAUCUUGUACACAUAGCAACCUCUAUCGGUAUACAUUCCCAGGCAUACAUACUGAGUCUCACAAAUUCU